rnacentral:rRNA from 1 species
UGGUAGUNCACGCCGUAAACGAUGAGUGCUAGGUGUUAGGCCCUUUCCGGGGCUUAGUGCCGGAGCUAACGCAAUAAGCACUCCGCCUGGGGAGUACGACCGCAAGGUUGAAACUCAAAGGAAUUGACGGGGGCCCGCACAAGCGGUGGAGCAUGUGGUUUAAUUCGAAGCAACGCGAAGAACCUUACCAGGUCUUGACAUCCCGAUGCUAUUCUUAGAGAUAGGAAGUUACUUCGGUACAUCGGAGACAGGUGGUGCAUGGUUGUCGUCAGCUCGUGUCGUGAGAUGUUGGGUUAANNNNNNCAACGAGCGCAACCCUUAUUGUUAGUUGCCAUCAUUAAGUUGGGCACUCUAGCGAGACUGCCGGUAAUAAACCGGAGGAAGGUGGGGAUGACGUCAAAUCAUCAUGCCCCUUAUGACCUGGGCUACACACGUGCUACAAUGGUCGGUACAACGAGUUGCGAGCCGGUGACGGCAAGCUAAUCUCUGAAAGCCGAUCUCAGUUCGGAUUGGAGGCUGCAACUCGCCUCCAUGAAGUCGGAAUCGCUAGUAAUCGCGGAUCAGCACGCCGCGGUGAAUACGUUCCCGGGCCUNG